GUGCUUCACCAAGGACACAGGUGGUGCUCCUGUUCUCCAGGGACUGUGAACCUGUCCCUCUCCCAAGGCCCCUGUCCUGCCAGGGAUGUGUUCCCACCCAGAGGCGUCCCCUGAUGUGGCCAGCUCUGUGCCCUGAAGCUGGUCUGCUCCCUGGGAGGAGGCAGAGAGCCAGGGCACCAACCCCAGGCAGCCUGUCCUGUGGGCUGGUGCCCGGUGCCCAACUCCUGUUUCAUGAUUCCACAGUGACCACAGUGUUGCCUGGACCUGGAUGCCUGCCUGGGCUGGAGACCAUCUGGCUGUGCCCUCUGGCUUCCCCAGAAGAGGAUGCUCUUAGAUGUCAGCCAAAGCCAGCCUGGGUUGGGAGCCGACCACUUCUGACUUUUACUCUCAGGCCUCAAGUCCAGACUUGGCCUGGGCCUAGAAUGUUGGUGUCAAAGACAAAGGCCUUGAGGAACUGCAUGAAAUCAUCCACCGUGAGCCCAUGAGUGUCCUGGAGAUGACACAAAGUGUGUUUCAGCUAACUGGAACUUGAGCCCAUGGACAUUCUGGACAGCCACAGAGAAUCCUCUCUGGGAAAACCAGGGCCAACUCACAACAAGCGUGACUUCACCCUACACUCCCCAGUGCUGCGUGACGGGGACAAGAAGCCAAGGACAAAUAUCACACAUCUUCCAGGAGAGCCAAUUAUACUCUGUAGUUGGGUUUUUUUUUAAUAGGAUGAAAAUUACCAAAAAGAAUUUCCCUCAUGUUAAGACAUGCAUUUUUUUCUUAUUUCAGCAUUUCUAAAAUCUGAAGGCACUGAUGUCAUUGUUUAAUGUGGCCAUUUUCUUGCUUCUCAGAAAAAUUAAUUAAAUGUCAUUAAAUCCAGGGCACUUCAUGUAAUUGACAGCAUCUUAGAACUGAGGACAUUAAACAGCCAUUUAAAUAGAACUGUAAGUCAUUUAAGACAUUGUUUUAUGCGAACCCUUGGCAGGAUGCUUUAAAAUCAGAAGGCCA
rnacentral:lncRNA from 1 species